rnacentral:rRNA from 1 species
GACAGAGGCCUCAAGCGUUAGGCGGAAUCACUGGGCUUAAAGCGUGUGUAGGCGGAUCGUUAAGUGUCUUGUGAAAUCCCACGGCUCACCCGUGGAACUGCUGGGCAUACUGGCGAUCUUGGGCCAACUAGGGGCAACUGGAACAAGCGGUGGAGCGGUGAAAUGCGUAGAUAUCGCUUGGAACGCCAAAGGUGAAAACAGGUUGCUGGGGUUGUGCCGAC